UUUAGGGGACUCUCUAACUGGGACCAAUUGGUGGGAUUGCUGUUGAGGAAGUACACACGGAGAUACACUGGUUAGAGCUAAUGAGGUUUAACCAUGUAUCAGCUGAUUUCAAUAGCUCACGUUACUGUAUUGUGUCAACAUUUAACUUCGUUU